rnacentral:lncRNA from 1 species
UGAUUAGUGGCAAUGGUGGGUGAUGAUGGAAAGAUGGAGUAUACCAUGAUGUUAACACGCCAACCGACGACACGUGUACGUCUGUGGUUUGGUCCUAGUGUGUAUGCUAGUGAUUCCUAGUUUAGCACCGGAGACUUGCACGGUUGCACCAUUGUGUCCCGUGCACCAUUCCUAUUUUUUUUUCUCCCUAGAUCAUAUGGUAUUAAGUCUGCAACAAAGUUCUUAGAAAUCCAUGUGCUUCCUUUUCUCACAAUUUCAACGCUGCUAAACUCAAAUUACUGAAUGCAAUCUAAUUGGAUAUUUUUGGAUCCAUUGCGGAACGGAAAUUACAGAAUGCAAUCUAAUCGGAUAUUUUUGGAUACUAUGUUCAUGUGUCAUUGACGUGCCUUCUAGUAUUUCAUCACAUGCCUUCAAACUCAAAUUAAUCCAUGUGUAAUUGACGUGCCUUCUU